AACGAACGCUGGCGGCAUGCCUAACACAUGCAAGUCGAACGAGACCUUCGGGUCUAGUGGCGCACGGGUGCGUAACGCGUGGGAACCUGCCCUUAGGUUCGGAAUAACUCCCCGAAAGGGGUGCUAAUACCGGCUAAUGUCUUCGGACCAAAGAUUUAUCGCCUUUGGAUGGGCCCGCGUUGGAUUAGCUAGUUGGUAGGGUAAAAGCCUACCAAGGCGACGCUCCAUAGCUGGUCUGAGAGGAUGAUCAGCCACACUGGGACUGAGACACGGCCCAGACUCCUACGGGAGGCAGCAGUGGGGAAUAUUGGACAAUGGGCGAAAGCCUGAUCCAGCAAUGCCGCGUGAGUGAUGAAGGCCUUAGGGUUGUAAAGCUCUUUUACCCGGGAUGAUAAUGACAGUACCGGGAGAAUAAGCUCCGGCUAACUCCGUG
rnacentral:rRNA from 1 species